rnacentral:rRNA from 1 species
UACGGGGGGGGCAAGCGUUGUUCGGAAUUACUGGGCGUAAAGGGCUCGUAGGCGGCCAACUAAGUCGGAUGUGAAAUCCCCAGGCUUAACCUGGGAACUGCAUCCGAUACUGGUUGGCUUGAAUCCGGGAGAGGGAUGCGGAAUUCCAGGUGUAGCGGUGAAAUGCGUAGAUAUCUGGAGGAACACCGGUGGCGAAGGCGGCAUCCUGGACCGGCAUUGACGCUGAGUGAGCGAAAGCCAGGGGAGCAAA